rnacentral:misc_RNA from 1 species
UUUCCGUAGGUGAACCUGUGGAAGGAUCAUUAUUGAAUAACCGAGGUGCGAGGGCUGUUGUUGACCCGAAAGGCCGUGAAAGCCCGAGUGCCCUCACACACAUUCAUCUUACCCCUAUGUGCACCACCUCGUGGGUCCCCCUUUGUCUUGUUCGGUGCGGGGCUUACGUUUUCACAAAAACAUUGUAUACAGUGUAGAAUGUUAUUUAUGUUUUUGCUAAUACGCUAUGAAUACAACUUUUACCAACGGAUCUCUUGGCUCUCCCAUCGAUGAAGAACG